ACUGAACGCUGGCAGCGGGCCUAACACAUGCAAGUCGAACGAGUGGCGCACGUGUGAGAAAUGUAUGUGAAACUGCCAGAGGGCGGGGGUUAACUACUGGAACAGGUAGCUAAGACCGAUGAGCAUUGGCUUGGACCACAGGGGAUUAGCAAGUAGGUGGGGUAAUGGCUAACCUAUGCUACGAUACCUAGCUGGUCUGAGUGGAGGACCGGCCACACUGGAACUGAGACACGGUCCAGACUCCUACGGGAGGCAGCAGUGGGGAAUAUUGCUCAAUGGGCGCAAGUCUGAUGCAGCCAUGCCGCGUGUAUGAAGAAGGCCUUCGGGUUGUAAAGUACUUUCAGCGAGUAGGCGUUACUCGCAGAAGAAGCACCGGCUAACUCCGUGCCAGCAGCCGCGGUAAUUC
rnacentral:rRNA from 1 species